CCUGUCAAAACAGACCACUAGGCUCUACCAAUCAGCAGGAUGUGGGUGGGGCCAGAUAAGAGAAUAAAAGCAGGCUGCCCGAGCCAGCAGUGGCAACCUGCUCGGAUCUCCUUCCACGUUAUGGAAACUUUGUUCUUUUGCCCUUUGCAAUAAUUUUUGCUACUGUUCACUUGUUUGGGCCCACGCUGCUUUUGAGCUGUAACACUUACCGCGAAGGUCUGCAACUUCACUCCUGAAGCCAGGAAGAUCAUGAGCCCACGAAAAGGAACAAACAACUCCAGAUGUACUACCUUAGGAGCUGUAGCACUCACCAUGAGGGUCCGUGACUUCGUUCUUGAAGUCAGUGAGACCAAGAGCUCACAAAUUCCGGACACAGCUGAAGCAGGACAAUCGCUUGAACCCGGGAGGCGGAGAUUGCAGUGAGCCAAGACUGUGCUACUGCACUCCAGCCUGGGUGACAGGCACCAUCUCAAAUAAACAAAAUAAGAGAUGAGCAUUCUACCAACUGCUGUGGAAAAGAAGGGAAAACCAUGGUUAUCUUAAAUCUACCUGAAGUAAAAAGAGAAUAAAAUGAGGCAGAGUAGAAAAGGGGCUUGGCUUCAGGCUACCCCCACUAGAGCAUUCCUUCAUGCAUCUCCACUGAUCACAAAACCUACCCCACUGCCUCAUUGACGCCAUAAUGUUAGAACUGCAUUUAGAAGAAUUCCAGGAACUGACCUUAAGAGACAACCAAGGUUGCCAAGUGUCCCACUUUGGGAAGGAAUGUUGAACAAUCAAUUGAUUUACAGUCUGUUGCCUCCGGCCAGACCACAGGGGUGGCUCAUUAAGUCAAGAUAACCAGAGCAACUUAGUAUGCCGCCCUGCACGCCCUACCGCCGAUGUCAGUUCCCCCGCUUUGCUUCUUAAAAAAGACUUGGGCUCUGGAGCUCCAGCAGAGGCCGCGGCCUCGGCUCCCACCCGUCGGGCCCCGACUUGAAGCAGCGGGGAACCUCUCCUUACACCUCGGCCACGGCGCAGCGCGGAUCCUGUCCUCGGGCGACCGCUCUGUCCCAAUUGGGCAAGACUACCUGGUCCUGAUGACAAUGGACAACGGCUUUAACGGCCGGAAGGUCAGCGGAGUCCCGGAUGAGGACUAGUGGAACGGUAACGGCCAUGGGGCGGUUGGCCUUCCUUCUACCAGACCUCGAUGUGGGAAGAGAAAAAUGGAGUAACAGGCCACAUUUGGCGCUUUGGAGAUGCCCACCACGCUUUGGGAAGGUGUACCUAUAAUGUGAGAAAGCUGCUCUCAGCUUCACCCAAAACUUUUACAAGAAAACAUUUGCCACAUCUAGCCCUUCCAGAUGUAAAGAAGCUGCUGACGUAUGAUAGACUAAGAAUAUUACACAUCUUGUAAAUUCUCAUUUGUUUAAAAAAAUCGUAGAAAAUAAACAUCUUCUGGAGAUGACUUUUUGAAAUGGAGAUGUUGCAUCACCUCUGGAAGCAACAUCAGGAGCAGACACAUACACGUUUGUUCACUGGGUUAGACUAGGACAUGGAGAAGAUCUGAGAAGGAAGAGAAGAAGGUCCUAUGCCAGACUGGUCAUAUUUAGAAGACGUUUACAUAUUAUAAUCAUUGUCCUGUGUGUGCAUUUUAUUCCUCACUACUGUAUAUGUAGCUGACAACUCCAAGUACUUUUUGAAAUGUCUAGUCUUUUUUUUUUUUUUUUUUUUGAGAUGGAGUCUCUUUCUGUUGCCUAGACUGGAGUGCAGUGGCACGAUCAUGGCUCACCGCCCAUGUACAAGUGAUUCUCCUGCCUCAGUCUCCCAAGUAGCUGGGAUUACAAGCACGCACCACCAUGCCCGACUAAUUUUUGUAUUUUUAGUAGAAACGGUUUUCACCACGUUGGCGAGGCUGGUUUUGAACUCCUGACCUCAAAUGAUCCGCCCACCUCGGCCUACCAAAGUGCUGGGGUUACAGGCCUGAGCCACUGCUCCCGGAAAUGUCUAGUCUUUCUAGAUGUUCUGAAGUGUCUAAUAUAUGUUAAAUUUAGAGAUAGUAAAAUAUUACAUUUUGUAAAUAUCUUUUGGUUAAAAUUCAUAUGAAAUGUUUUGAGAGGGGAAUGGCCAACCACCAGUUCAGUAACAAACAUUGUGUUUAUGCACUGGUUCAGGGGAGGAGGAGAAGGAGGCUGUGCAGAGAGCGCUAUGCCACCAGUGUGCUUAUGGUGAGGCAAGAUUAACUAUUGUCUCUCAUGUCUGUGCACUUUGUUUUCCUUAUCUGUGUAUAUACAGUGCUUAUAGAGGAAAACAAGUCCUAAUUUACAUCUAGACUUUCUAGACAUUAAAGAGGUUUCCAGUAUAUGACAAAAGUAGAGUUAGUAAACUAAUAUAUUUUGAACAUUUUGUUUUAAAAUUCCUUGGGAAGAUUGUCUUCUGAAAAUUUGAGCAUUAUUGGCCACUGGGUUGACUGAGAUGGGAAGGGUUCUAGGCCGGAAUAUUUUUAUUUGGAAGACUCUUUCAGAUUUUAACUAUUGUUACAUGUGUACAGUUUAUUCAAGACUGCUUUGCAGGACCAGCACGGUGGCUCACACCUGUAAUCCCAGCACUUUGGGAGACUGAGGUGGUUGGAUUGCUUGAGGCCAGGAUUUCGAGACCAGCCUGGCCAACAUGGUGAAAUCCCAUCUCUACUAAAAAUACAAAAAUUAGCUGGGCGUGGUGAUGCACGCCUGUAAUCCCAGCUACUUGGGAGGCUGAGACAGGAGAAUCACUUGAACCAGGGAGGCAGAGGUUGCAGUGAGCCAAGAUCACACCACUGCACUCCAGCCUGGGUGAUGGAGUAAGACCCUGCCUCCAAAAAAAAAAAAAAAAAAAAAAAACCUGCUUUGUAUAUGAUGGACAAAUAAAUAUACUCUUUACCUGAAACAUCUAGCCUAUCUAGAUGUUUAGAAGUGCCCAGCAUACAUUAAAUGUACAGGUAACAUUUAACCUCUAAUGUAAAAGUAAGAGUAAAUAAUCACUUAAAAAUAUAUUUUUGCUAAAAUUCAUAAGAAAUAGUGUCUUUUGAAAGUGGAAUUGUUGCCGGGCGUGGUGGCUCACGCCUGUAAUCCCAGCACUUUGGGAGGCCGAGGCGGGUGGAUCACCUGAAGUCAGGAGUUUGAAACCAGCCAUGGUCAACAUGGUGAAACUCUGUCUCUACUAAAAAUGCAAAAUCAGCUGAGCGUGGUGGUACAUGCCUGUAUUCCCAGCUUCCUGGGAGGCUGAAGCAGGAGAAUCGCUUGAACCUGGGAGGCAGAGGUUGCAGUGAGCCAAGAUUAUGCCAUUGUGCUCCAUCCUGGGCAACAAGAGCGAAACUCCAUCUAAAAAAAAAAAAAAAAAGAAA